rnacentral:rRNA from 1 species
AUUGAACGCUGGCGGCAGGCCUAACACAUGCAAGUCGAACGGUAACAGAAAGCAGCUUGCUGCUUUGCUGGCGGGUGGCGGGAGGGUGAGCAAUGUCUGGGCAACUGUCUGAUGGAGGGGGAUAACUACUGGAAACGGUAGCUACUACCGCAUAACGGCGCAAGACCAAAGAGGGGGACAUUCGGGCCUCUUGCCAGCGGAUGCGCCCAGAUGGGAUUUGCUAGUAGGUGGGGUAACGGCUCACCUAGGCGACGAUCCCUACCCGGUCUGAGAGGAUGCCCAGCCACACUGGAACUGGGACACGGUCCAGGCUCCUACGGGAGGCAGCAGUGGGGAAUAUUGCGCAAUGGGGGGAAGCCUGAUGCAGCCAUGGCGCGUGUAUGGAGAAAGCCUUCGGGUUGGAAAGUACUUUUAGGGGGGAGGAAGGGAGUAAAGUUAAUACCUUUGCUGAUUGACGGUACCCGCCAAAGAAGCACCGGCUAACUCCGUG